CCUACGGGUGGCAGCAGUGAGGAAUAUUGGUCAAUGGGCGGGAGCCUGAACCAGCCAAGCCGCGUGAGGGAAGAAGGUACAGCGUAUCGUAAACCUCUUUUGUCAGGGAACAAAGGCGGGGACUAGUCCCCGGAUGAGGGUACCUGAGGAAUAAGCCACGGCUAACUACGUGCCAGCAGCCGCGGUAAUACGUAGGUGGCAAGCGUUAUCCGGAUUUAUUGGGUGUAAAGUGCGUGUAGGCGGGAGCGCAAGUCAGAUGUGAAAACUCAGGGCUCAACCCUGAGCCUGCAUUUGAAACUGUGUUUCUUGAGUGCUGGAGAGGCAAUCGGAAUUCCGUGUGUAGCGGUGAAAUGCGUAGAUAUACGGAGGAACACCAGUGGCGAAGGCGGAUUGCUGGACAGUAACUGACGCUGAGGCGCGAAAGCGUGGGGAGCAAACAGGAUUAGAUACCCCAGUAGUC
rnacentral:rRNA from 1 species